rnacentral:tRNA from 1 species
UCGACAGGUGACUGAAAGUAAGUGUAGGUCUUUUAAACCUAUUAUAGUAGUACGACUACUCCUGGCGAU